rnacentral:rRNA from 1 species
UACGUAGGGGGCAAGCGUUGUCCGGAAUUAUUGGGCGUAAAGCGCGCGCAGGCGGUUCUUUAAGUCUGGUGUUUAAACCCGAGGCUCAACUUCGGGUCGCACUGGAAACUGGGGGGACUUGAGUGCAGAAGAGGAGAGUGGAAUUCCACGUGUAGCGGUGAAAUGCGUAGAUAUGUGGAGGAACACCAGUGGCGAAGGCGACUCUCUGGGCUGUAACUGACGCUGAGGCGCCGAAAGCGUGGGGAGCAAACAGG